rnacentral:pre_miRNA from 14 species
CCCGGCAGGACCCCAUCCUCUGCCUGCGGGACUCAAACCGUGGGGGCACUUUCUGGCGUCUGGAGUAGAGUGCCGCCAGGGUUUGAGUGUUGCCGGUGGGGAAGGCCGACGGGGGGCGAC